AGGAGCAGCUACACAUGCAAGUCGAGCGAGAUCUUCGGAUCUAGCGGCGGACGGGUGAGUAACGCGUGGGAACGUACCCUCUUCUGCGGGAUAGCCACUGGAAACGGUGAGUAAUACCGCAUACGCCCUUCGGGGGAAAGAUUUAUCGGAGGAGGAUCGGCCCGCGUUGGAUUAGGUAGUUGGUGGGGUAAUGGCCUACCAAGCCUACGAUCCAUAGCUGGUUUUAGAGGAUGAUCAGCCACACUGGGACUGAGACACGGCCCAGACUCCUACGGGAGGCAGCAGUGGGGAAUCUUAGACAAUGGGCGCAAGCCUGAUCUAGCCAUGCCGCGUGAGUGACGAAGGCCUUAGGGUCGUAAAGCUCUUUCGCCUGUGAUGAUAAUGACAGUAGCAGGUAAAGAAACCCCGGCUAACUCCGUGCCAGCAGCCGCGGUAAUACGGAGGGGGUUAGCGUUGUUCGGAAUUACUGGGCGUAAAGCGCACGUAGGCGGAUUGGAAAGUAUGGGGUGAAAUCCCAGGGCUCAACCCUGGAACGGCCUCAUAAACUUCCAGUCUGGAGUUCGAGAGAGGUGAGUGGAAUUCCGAGUGUAGAGGUGAAAUUCGUAGAUAUUCGGAGGAACACCAGUGGCGAAGGCGGCUCACUGGCUCGAUACUGACGCUGAGGUGCGAAAGUGUGGGGAGCAAACAGGAUUAGAUACCCUGGUAGUCCA
rnacentral:rRNA from 1 species